rnacentral:rRNA from 1 species
UACGGAGGGUGCAAGCGUUAUCCGGAUUUACUGGGUUUAAAGGGUGCGUAGGUGGGUAGGAAAGUCAGUGGUGAAAUCUUCGGGCUUAACCCGGAAACUGCCAUUGAUACUAUUUAUCUUGAAUACUUUGGAGGUAAGCGGAAUAUGUCAUGUAGCGGUGAAAUGCUUAGAUAUGACAUAGAACACCAAUUGCGAAGGCAGCUGGCUACACGAAUAUUGACACUGAUGCACGAAAGCGUGGGGAUCAAACAGG